rnacentral:rRNA from 1 species
AUGAGUCGACCUGAUGGGAUCAACAUCCCCGACGACAAGUUCUACCUUGGAGAUGCUGGCUAUGCAUGUUGGCCGGGUAUUCUUCCACCCUUCAGGAAAACCAGGUACCAUCUCAACAAGUUCUCUGGUAGGAACUAUCCUAGGACUGCACACGGGCUAUUUAAUCUCAGACACUCCAGCCUUAGAGUAACUGUUGAGAGGGCAUUUGGAGCUUUGAAGAUAUUUAAGAUCCUGGAUCAGAAGCCAUUCCACCCAUACCCCACUCAGGUUAAGCUUGUUCUUGCUUGUUGCAUUCUGCAUAACUGGAACCUCCAGUGGGGCUUUGAUGAACACGUGCCUGGGGAGGAAGAGGUCGAGCCUGACAAUGUUGUUAGCUCCGGCCAUGGUGUGGAGCCAUUUGACAAUGACGCUUUGAAGAACAAAAGGUGGAGUGGGCAGAGGCAAUGUGGCUUAAUAGAGGUCAGUGUAGGAUUUGAACAAGAUGGAAGAAGAAGAAGAAGCAGCAGCAGCAGAAGCAGAAGUAGAAGCAGAAGAAGAGGAAGAGGAAGAUCUGGUAGCAGCAACACCAAUGAACUAUCCCCUAUUUAG